GACAUUUGACCUGCAUUGUUGAUCUAAGUCAUAGAAUAUUAUUAUUGUCACAGGUGCUGGGUAUUAACCCUUUUAUGUUUACUUGUAAAAUUGCUUUGAUUUGUUGUACGGAUAUGGAUUCAAGCAUAUAAGACAAAAGGAUGUCUUUCGGGAAAGCAAGUGUCAUCUGACAGAUGUUAUGUUAUUGCUCAAAUGGUAACUGGAUUCACUUACAGAAAAAGGAGUCCCGACUUUUUUUGGGUGGGUUGUAAACAGUUUGUAGGUGAACACCAACAACUUAAGGAACUAUUUUACACGACAUAGUAUCUAUUUUGCCUAUCAAGUGGCUCAGUAAGAUGAGCCUUUACUUCGAUUAUAUUAGUAAGGCGCUAACAAGCCCCUGCAAUCUUUCAGAUGCAUGAAUGAGUGUAGUUGGAAAUGAGGGGACAGGAUGAUGGUAGAAUCAUGGAAAGAGGGUGGAUAUACU